GCUGACGCUCCUGCGUGGCCGUCGCUUCACAGGCGACGCUCGGGCGUCACGUGCCGCAUUUCCGCUCGUCCGCCGCGGCAGCGGCCAAUUACCGCGGACCCUCGCUUGGGUUCGGGCGGGAUCCUGAGUGACAGCGCCCGGCGCCACGCGGGCACGCCUAACACGCGGCCGCCACGGUGACAGCCUAAGCCUGCAAAGGACGGCAUCCUUCCCUCCAGAGUCGGGGGUAAAGCCCCGCCAGCGGAGAGAUCUCCGUCCUCGCCCCUGUUCGCUCGGAGGCGGACGCCGGCGCUUUGCAUAAUCCGAGGUGCAUCUGUUCGCGGCCAGGUUCCCGGAGCGGGAGCGGAGGUACGCAGGAUUCCCUCCAGCGCCCGCUUUCACCCGCUGGAGCCGGACGCCCCGGACCAAGGCUGCGUUCGCUGAGCCCGGAGCUGCAGACAGGCACAUUGUGAUGAAUUAAAUAUGACUUGAUGAAUUCCACAUGUCUGCUUGUGCGAAGGCUGAGAGAGAUUCACAGGGAGGAAAAUGGCCAAAAUCACUUUUUUUUUUUUAGAACUUGAAACUAGUUCACUUCUGCCCAACGACUGAUUUCCUUUCUUGCUGUUUGGAUAUGAAAUGCAAAUUACUCUCAUGGUCUGUGUUUGCUAAUUGCCAUUUAGUUUUUUGUUAAUUAAUGUAUUCAUUAAUGAAAUUGCUCUGUAAUUGUGUUAUUCUCUUGUUAGCUGCUUAGGAAGCUGUUCAGCCUUGUCACGUCUCAACGUUCUGCUUCCAAUGAUGGGUUUUCAUACACAUAACAUUACCUCCUUUGGCUUCUUCAAAACACAUUUUGGAUUUUUCACCCCAUAACUAACACCCGCAUCCUGCAAAAGGCCAUCAACAGCCCCCAGGUGGCUUUAACAUGCAAUAUUGAAUAUUUCCAUUAGCGUUAGAUGGUUUAGUGGAACUCUCCAGUGUGAUCAGGAAACAGACUAUGAACCCUCAUCAUCACCAUCAUGGAGAGGAAAUCCCAUAAAGAAAGGGUGGUGUUGGGAAGAUCACAGGAACCGGGACAACGGAGACAAGGAGAAUAUAAAUCAAAAUUCAAUAAAACAGACCACAGCUUUGCUACAUGAGAAUCAUCUUCCUGGCAGGUUCCAGAGUGAGAUGACUUCCUGUGAGAGCGCUACCAAGGGAAAUUCCUCCCCAGCAGGGAAUCUACUCCUCAUCUGUCCAGCACAGACACACGCUCCUAUGUGAUCGACCCGAUAAAGAUUUCUAUUUUCAUUAGACACAUGAGGACUUGCUGCUGUCUUCCGCCCAGCUGUGAAAAUAACAGCCUCAAG